rnacentral:rRNA from 1 species
UACGUAGGGUGCGAGCGUUUGUCCGGAAUUAUUGGGCGUAAAGAGCUCGUAGGCGGUCUGUCGCGUCGGAUGUGAAAACUCGGGGCUCAACCCCGAGCCUGCAUUCGAUACGGGCAGACUAGAGUUCGGUAGGGGAGACUGGAAUUCCUGGUGUAGCGGUGAAAUGCGCAGAUAUCAGGAGGAACACCGGUGGCGAAGGCGGGUCUCUGGGCCGAUACUGACGCUGAGGAGCGAAAGCGUGGGGAGCGAACAGG